rnacentral:rRNA from 1 species
CAAUAGCGUAUAUUAAAGUUGUUGCAGUUAAAAAGCUCGUAGUUGGAUUUGUGGCUGUCACGGGCGGCCUAUCACUUAGUGUUAGUGCUUGCCUGUGUCGCCAUCCUUGGGUGGAGCCCGUGUGGCAUUAGGUUGUCGUGCGGGGGAUGCCCAUCGUUUACUGUGAGAAAAUUAGAGUGUUCAAAGCAGGCUUAUGCCGUUGAAUAUGUUAGCAUGGAAUAAUAAGAUAGGACCUCGGUACUAUUUUGUUGGUUUGCGCACCGAGGUAAUGAUUAAUAGGGACAGUUGGGGGUAUUCGUACUUCAUUGUCAGAGGUGAAAUUCUUGGAUUUCUGAAAGACGAACUACUGCGAAAGCAUUUACCAAGGAUGUUUUCAUUAA